rnacentral:lncRNA from 1 species
GUCCACACAUAGCCUUUAUAUAGGCUUUACAAGUUUGCAAUCAUAAACCCUUAAUCUAAUGGCUAAAAAUGACUUGAGAAUGAAUGGCUAGGAUGUAGUCUUGGAUCUGGUCUUCACAAUCUUGGUGAUGGUCUCUGAUUGGCUAAAGGAAUCUGGUAAGAGAAGCUUGGAUGGUUCAGAUUGCCCAUGUUUGAAAUGGAUGGAUAAGAUGGAGCCUUGUGUGUUCCAUGGUCAAAAGGUGCUUUACCUUUUGACCAGCUACUUUCCAGCUAGCAACAGGUCACGCCCAGCUCCUCUCUUAUCCAUUCCCAACAGUCACAAGCUCAGAUAACUCCUCCUUGCUCCCUAAGUUUGCACAUCUCCAUUUCGGGUCAAUCCGGGUAAAGUGGUACGGCCUGCUCAUCCGUAUGGUUGAUGGUACGGACCUGAUGUCCGUACCUCGCCCUAUAUUUGCACAACUUCACCAAGCUUCUUCAAUAGAUGAACCAAAUCAUGUUUUGGGUCGCCCUAACUUUGCACCAGACCCAAACUUCUCCAUACUUCUCUUUUGGUGAUGGUCUCUGAUUGGCUAAAGGAAUCUGGUAAGAGAAGCUUGGAUGGUUCAGAUUGCCCAUGUUUGAAAUGGAUGGAUAAGAUGGAGCCUUGUGUGUUCCAUGGUCAAAAGGUGCUUUACCUUUUGACCAGCUACUUUCCAGCUAGCAACAGGUCACGCCCAGCUCCUCUCUUAUCCAUU